rnacentral:rRNA from 1 species
CCGACGGGUGAGUAACACGUAUCCAACCUGCCGUCUACUCUUGGACAGCCUUCUGAAAGGAAGAUAAUACAAGAUGGCAUCAUGAGUCCGCAUGUUCACAUGAUUAAAGGUAUUCCGGUAGACGAUGGGGAUGCGUUCCAUUAGAUAGUAGGCGGGGUAACGGCCCACCUAGUCUUCGAUGGAUAGGGGUUCUGAGAGGAAGGUCCCCCACAUUGGAACUGAGACACGGUCCAA